AUUAUAGGAAAUUAAGGUUUUAGCAGCGUUUUUAGUGACGUUUGGGUGGAAAACGCCGCAAAUAUUAUACAUUAGUGGCGCGAACGAAAAAACGUCAUAAUAGGUAAAACAGUAGCGACGUUUAUGAGAAAAAUGCCGCAAAAGGUCAAGUGACGAGAAAAAUACUGUAAAAGGUAAGCAAUAGCAGCAAUUUUGAUAAAAACGCCGCAAAGUAUCAUUUUAUUUUAAAUGAAACCGUACCGUCUUGCUCUGCUUAGUUUUAUCCCUAAACCAUAACCCUGAAAUCAUUUAUUUUUCCCCUAAAAAUUAGAAUCCCCAAAUCCCUUAAUUUUUUCCCCAAAUCGAAAUCCCGAAAUCCCUUUGAUUUUCCCGGACCGUCUGAUGCAUUGCCGUCGACUGUCCCCUCUGCUGCAUCGUCGUCGACACUCCUUUGCCACAUUGCCGUUUUUUGUGGAAACUUUGGACAAAUGCUUCCAGAUGCUUCCAGAAUGUUUGCGAGCUUGACAUCAUGUUCAAUUAUAGCAAGCUUUUUUGCAGAUCUUGUUCUUCUAAUUUAGCUGCUCUUGAUUGAGAAGAUAGCUUUUUGGUGUGUUUGCUUAGCUCCAAUUCACAUUGUCUCGGGGCAGUUACUGGGUUCCAAGUUUUCUAUUUCUUUCUCUUUUUUUGUCAGACCGAAUUACGCAGGCCAAAGUUUGUAAAGGUAAUACCAGUGAAGUUCACCUUUAUAUUUAAAACUGUUGCUUUCUCUUUGGUUGAUAUUUGAUGCUUGGAAAUAUUGCGAUAUGCUAACCCACAUUUUAUCUGGUAGAUACUUUUAGAAUGGAGUUGAAUUUCAAUAGAUUGGUUAGUUGUAAACCUUUUUGUAUGCUUUGCCAUUUCAUGAAAUUGGAGAUGAGUGACAGCAUUUACAUUGAGCAUGCUAUUGUUUUUCUCUGGAUAUGCUACUUGCAAACUGUUAAAGCCUUUAUUGUCCUAUAUUUAAAGCCUUUAUUGUCCUAUACUUGUAAACUGUUUGCCUGAAUGUUUUGGGUAUGAAAACAUAAUACGAUAUACAUUAUAAUAAAUUUGGAUAGACAUAAUUAUGAGACUCAAAAUUAAUAGAAGAAUACAAUAAGUUGAGCCUUAAGUAUUUAUUGAGCUUUUUUAUAAGUUCAUGUGAUAGUGAUUUAAAAUACGCAAGUUUUAAGUUAAUAAAGAAGCUAUGGUUAACUAGGAGCAUUGAAUCACCACAAAGUGUCGAAAUUGUAUUUAAAAUGUUGUAAACUAUGAUUAGUUAUUGAUAUAUACAUAUUUUUAAA